AGCUCCAAUAGCGUAUAUUAAAGUUGUUGCAGUUAAAAAGCUCGUAGUUGGAUUUCUGGCAGAGUGACUCCGGCCGCAGCAUUGCGAGUUGGGAGCGCCCUACCAUCCUUCGGUUAACCUUUACGGAAUUCACUUUCUGUGCUGGGGCUCCGAUAUUUUACCUUGAGAAAAUUAGAGUGUUUCAGGCAGGCUAUAGCCGGAAUACAUUAGCAUGGAAUAAUGGAAAAGGACUACUACCUCUUCUGUUGGUCUGGGAGGCAGCAGUAAUGAUUAAUAGGGAUAGUUGGGGGCAUUAGUACUUAAUAGCAAGAGGUGAAAUUCUCUGAUUUGUUAAAGACUAACUUAUGCGAAAGCAUUUGCCAAGGAUGUUUUCAUUA
rnacentral:rRNA from 1 species